rnacentral:tRNA from 1 species
GCCCAGCUGGCUCAGUCAGUGGAGCACGUGACUCUUGAUCUCAGGGUCGUGGGUUCGAGCCUCAUGUUGGGUG